rnacentral:rRNA from 1 species
AGAGUUUGAUCAUGGCUCAGGAUGAACGCUAGCGGCAGGCCUAACACAUGCAAGUCGAGGGGUAGGGUUAGCUUGCUAACCUGAGACCGGCGCACGGGUGCGUAACGCGUAUGCAAUCUACCUUGUACAGAGGGAUAGCCCAGAGAAAUUUGGAUUAAUACCUCAUAGUAUUAUUGAAUGGCAUCAUUUGAUUAUUAAAGUUCCAACGGUACAAGAUGAGCAUGCGUCCCAUUAGUUAGUUGGUAAGGUAACGGCUUACCAAGAUGAUGAUGGGUAGGGGUCCUGAGAGGGAGAUCCCCCACACUGGUACUGAGACACGGACCAGACUCCUACGGGAGGCAGCAGUGAGGAAUAUUGGACAAUGGGCGCAAGCCUGAUCCAGCCAUGCCGCGUGCAGGAUGAAGCAUCUAUGGUGUGUAAACUGCUUUUAUACAGGAAGAAACCCUACCACGUGUGGUAGAUUGACGGUACUGUAGGAAUAAGGAUCGGCUAACUCCGUGCCAGCAGCCGCGGUAAUACGGAGGAUCCAAGCGUUAUCCGGAUUUAUUGGGUUUAAAGGGUGCGUAGGCGGUUUAUUAAGUCAGCGGUGAAAGUUUGAGGCUCAACCUUAAAAUUGCCGUUGAAACUGGUUAACUUGAGUGUAGAUGAAGUAGGCGGAAUUAGUGGUGUAGCGGUGAAAUGCAUAGAUAUCACUAGGAACUCCGAUUGCGAAGGCAGCUUACUAAGGUACAACUGACGCUGAUGCACGAAAGCGUGGGUAUCAAACAGGAUUAGAUACCCUGGUAGUCCACGCAGUAAACGAUGAUUACUAGUUGUUUGCGAUAUGACCGUAAGUAACUAAGCGAAAGCGAUAAGUAAUCCACCUGGGGAGUACGCCGGCAACGGUGAAACUCAAAGGAAUUGACGGGGGCCC